UUCCGGGCAAUAUGCGCAAUGAAAGUAGCAAGUACUUCAUGUAAAGUUUCAUUGAAAUCCAACCGAAUUCAAAUUCAGGGGAAAAAUAGCGGGCAAACUUAUGGCGGUCAACGGACAAACGGUCUGUAGAAACCAAUGCUACGUGGAUGGAAGGGAUAUAAAGAAGGGGCCCUGGGGGCCUAGGUCGCUCACCAGAAGUCACGACUAGGCAGGGUUCGAAGGUCAAAGACCUAUAAACUCCAUAAAAUUUAAAAUGUUCAAAUCUACAGAUUACAGGAGCUCGAUCUGAUUUUGGUGGAAAAUACACUUUCGAAAAAAUGACUGUAGCUUAAAUAUUUUAGCAGUUUAGGAGUUACGCACCCGGAAGGAAUGCCACGGACAAUUGGAUAGACGGACGGACAACUGCAAAUGCACUCUGAGGGGGGGGGGGCAUAAAACAUAAAAAUCAAUGCAUGUUAAAACAUCAAUGCAUAUUAAGACAACUGAAAAUUAAAAUUAUGUACAGUACUUACUGUCAAGAAUUCUUUUGAAGUUUGAAGAAAGUUUGGAUUUCAAUUCUUUCUAGUCGAAAAUCACAACUUUUCUUGCCGACCGCCAAGUCAAAUAUGGUUACUGACUUCUGAGUAAGACUCGUGUGCAAAAUUCCCGCCUUUUUAAAGCGGCACGUUAUCAAAGAAAAAAUCGGAAACUUCAAAGCUUUGUCGGCUUCUCAGCAAUAUGACGUCGGAACGACAAAUCAACUUUACAAAGUAAUGUUUAGGAAUACAGUCACACCUGUCUAAAGCAGCCAGUCAAACAUCCUUAUUUUUGGAGAGAUAUAUUCAUUUAAAAGAGCUCAAAAUCUCUUAAAUCGGAUUUUGGUGAAAAUACACUUUCGAAAAAAAAAGUUUUAAAAAUUUGAAAAUUGCUAUUAAUGAUCUCCACGAAAGUAUCUGGCCCGCCCGGGAAUCGAACCCUGCGUGCCAAUCUGACGCGCAACCGACUGAGCUAGCCGGCGAAACAGUUACACAACCAGCAAAAUCCAUGUAAAGUGUGGUUAGGUUAGCUGUUUCUGUUACUGCUAGUUACGACGACGACGACGACGACGACGACGAUGAUGAUGAUGAUGAUGAUGAUGAUGAUGAUGAUGAUGAUGAUGAUGAUGAUGAUGAUGAUGAUACUUUUGUCACUUCCAAUAUUAGGUUAAUACAAUGUAUUUGAGUUUGAAAAAAAGUUUACACAUCGGCAGACUAUUUCAUUUAUUAAGAAAUACAUAAUUUAUGUACCAUAUACGUAGGCCAUUUUCAUUUUUAUGAGUUUUUUUGGUAUGUACCAAAUACGUUUUGGCGAGCAUAGAAAAACUUAUUCCAACCGAAUAUGGUACAAUGUUUGUACCAUAUUCGGUCGAAAAUUGUACCAUCUUCGGUCCGAGUAUGGUACAUUUGUACCAUAUUCGGCCGAAUAUGGUACAAAUGUACCAUAUUCGUUUUUGUACCAAAUACGGUCCGACAGUGCUUACAGGAGGAUUCCACUUGGAGGCAAAAAUAGAGUUCUGUGAACUGGCGUCCAAUCAGAAACCAUGCGCCUUUGGAUAUCCCGUGCUUACAACGAAAGGUCAAGGCCCGCUAUCAUUCGAGCUGGCCACACCAAUGUCGUGCCGAUGUGCCCGCCCAUUGGUUGCUCAAGCGUCCUGGGAGAAGGGAGCUUACUUUUACACGCAAUAUGGGUGUGGUCAGGCGUGGUGUACAAGGAAAUCUGCCGACGUAUGUAAAAUAGUGUCGUUGAACGCGGGCGGGACCUAUUUCGAGAGGUACUUGUGUCGGUGCCGACGAAGCGACGCCUGUGGGGGUGACCUCCCGACAGCCGAUCUGCCGACGACAAACCACACCUGCUUAGCCCGACAGGCUUCGUCGGACACAAGUCUUGCUUGGAAAUCGUUGAAACCGUAGUCAACACCUGAUGUGAUAUAACCUGUAUACAGUAACAUUUAGUGUAAUGACUUAACUACGAGGUUUAAUGGACAAUAUAAUAUGUGCAAAGUCACAUGACAAGGACCUUCUAGGUGUUAUACGGAUAUUCACAUUUUUGAAUGCCCAUUUUAUACGUUGGCGCCAAAAAUUCUGAUCCAUUUCGUCUACCAAUGGUUAUUAUAAGUAAAAAGCAGAUCGGGUGAGAUUUUGAAACGAUUUUAAAUGGACUAGCUUUUUAAAGGGAUCUUUUCACGGUUUGGAAAAUUGACAAAAUUGAAAAAAGUUGUUUCAGAUUCACAAA